rnacentral:rRNA from 1 species
CCUACGGGUGGCUGCAGUGGGGAAUAUUGGACAAUGGGGGGAACCCUGAUCCAGCCAUGCCGCGUGUGUGAAGAAGGCCCUCGGGUUGUAAAGCACUUUCAGUGAGGAAGAACGCCUGGUGGUUAAUACCCAUCAGGAAAGACAUCACUCACAGAAGAAGCACCGGCUAACUCCGUGCCAGCAGCCGCGGUAAUACGGAGGGUGCGAGCGUUAAUCGGAAUUACUGGGCGUAAAGCGCGCGUAGGUGGCUUGAUAAGCCGGUUGUGAAAGCCCCGGGCUCAACCUGGGAACGGCAUCCGGAACUGUCAAGCUAGAGUGCAGGAGAGGAAGGUAGAAUUCCCGGUGUAGCGGUGAAAUGCGUAGAGAUCGGGAGGAAUACCAGUGGCGAAGGCGGCCUUCUGGACUGACACUGACACUGAGGUGCGAAAGCGUGGGUAGCAAACAGGAUUAGAUACCCUGUAGUC